CCUACGGGGGGCAGCAGUGAGGAAUAUUGGUCAAUGGGCGGAAGCCUGAACCAGCCAAGUAGCGUGCAGGAUGACGGCCCUCCGGGUUGUAAACUGUUUUUAUACGGGAAUAACGCGCCUUACGUGUAGGGCUUUGCAUGUACCGUAUGAAUAAGGACCGGCUAAUUCCGUGCCAUCAGCCGCGGUAAUACGGAAGGUCCGGGCGUUAUCCGGAUUUAUUGGGUGUAAAGGGAGCGUCGGCCGCGGGUCAAGCGUGCUGUGAAAUGUCCGGGCUCAACCCGGGCCUUGCAGCGCGGACUGGCGUGCGUGAGUCCGCGGAAGGCAGGCGGAAUUCGACGUGUAGCGGUGAAAUGCUUAGAGAUGGCGAAGAACCCCGAUUGCGAAGGCAGCUUGCUGCAGCGGAACUGACGCUGAGGCUCGAAAGCGCGGGUAGCGAACAGGAUUAGAUACCCGUGUAGUC
rnacentral:rRNA from 1 species